rnacentral:rRNA from 1 species
GAAAGCUAAUUGUAUUAUCAUAUAGUGCAAUAUCAACUACGUUGAAUAAAAUUCUGGGUAAAAUUAUGAUGAUGACAUUGUUUACCCAUGUGUCUUGACCAAAUUACGUGCCAGCAGUCGCGGUAAUACGUAGAAGACUAGUGUUAUUCAUCCUUAAUAGGUUUAAAGGGUACCUAGACGGUAAACCAAGCUCUUGCCACGCAAGACAGGACUAGUUUACUAGAGUUACUUACAAGGAGGCUAUAAAGUACUAAUGGUGUAGAGAUGAAAUUUUGUGAUACCAUUUCUCGAAAGGGAAGUCAUGGCACUGAUAAAGGCGAAAGCAUCCUCUUAUGUGAUAACUGACGUUGAGGGACGAAGGCUUUGGGUCGCGAAUAGGAUUAGAUACCCUAGUAGUAAAAGCAGAAAAUGAUGAGUGUCAUAGAUUAGAAAAAUAAUUUUAUUCUAUAAAUGAAAGUGUAAGCACUCCACCUCAAGAGUAAUUUGGCAACAUUGGAACUGAAAUCAUUAGACCGUUUCUGAAACCAGUAGUGAAGUAUGUUGUUUAAUUUGAUAAUCCGCAAAACACCUUACCACAACUUGAAUAUGGAUAUUAUAUAUAUCUUUACAAGCGUUGCACGGCUGUCUACAGUUAAUGUCGUGAGACUUUGGUUAGAUCCAUUAAAUUAACGCAAGCCCUUACUUUAUUUUUAAAUAGAGUUGUUCCCCACUAUAUUGGAUUUGAUAACAGGGACUAAGAUAAGUCAUCAUGGCCUGAAUGUUGUGGG